GACGAACGCUGGCGGCGUGCCUAAUACAUGCAAGUUGAGCGAUGAAGAUUGGUGCUUGCACCAAUUUGAAGAGCAGCGAACGGGUGAGUAACGCGUGGGGAAUCUGCCUUUGAGCGGGGGACAACAUUUGGAAACGAAUGCUAAUACCGCAUAACAACUUUAAACAUAAGUUUAAGUUUGAAAGAUGCAAUUGCAUCACUCAAAGAUGAUCCCGCGUUGUAUUAGCUAGUUGGUGAGGUAAAGGCUCACCAAGGCGAUGAUACAUAGCCGACCUGAGAGGGUGAUCGGCCACAUUGGACUGAGACACGGCCCAAACUCCUACGGGAGGCAGCAGU
rnacentral:rRNA from 1 species